UGAGGAAUAUUGGUCAAUGGGCGAGAGCCUGAACCAGCCAAGUAGCGUGCAGGAUGACGGCCCUAUGGGUUGUAAACUGCUUUUAUGUGGGGAUAAAGUGCGUGACGUGUCAUGCAUUGCAGGUACCACAUGAAUAAGGACCGGCUAAUUCCGUGCCAGCAGCCGCGGUAAUACGGAAGGUCCGGGCGUUAUCCGGAUUUAUUGGGUUUAAAGGGAGCGUAGGCUGUCUAUUAAGCGUGUUGUGAAAUUUACCGGUUCAACCGGUGGCUUGCAGCGCGAACUGGUCGACUUGAGUAUGCAGGAAGUAGGCGGAAUUCAUGGUGUAGCGGUGAAAUGCUUAGAUAUCAUGACGAACUCCGAUUGCGCAGGCAGCUUACUGUAGCAUAACUGACGCUGAUGCUCGAAAGUGCGGGUAUCAAACAGG
rnacentral:rRNA from 1 species